GCCGUGGGUCGCGAUUCCCCUCGCCGUGGGUCGCGAUUCCCCUCGCCGUGGGUCACGAUUCCCCUCUCUGGGUCAUGAUUCCCCUCUCCGUGGGUCACGAUUCCCCUCGCCGUGGGUCGCGAUUCCCCUCUCCGUGGGUCACGAUUCCCCUCGCCGUGGGUCGCGAUUCCCCUCUCCGUGGGUCACGAUUCCCCUCGCCGUGGGUCACGAUUCCCCUCUCCGUGGGUCACGAUUCCCCUCUCCGUGGGUCUCAGUGCCCCUCAUUUCACCUCGCAGUGACCGCACCAUCCCCCCGGACCUUUUUUCCGGCUCCUCUUUCGGGCCUUGACCCCCCCCCCCAGGGCCCCCCAAGUCAUCUCCCCCCCCCCCCCCGGGGGGCCCCUCCCCCUCUUCCCCGGCACCCCCCGAAAAUUUUCACCUGGAAAUUGGAACUCGGGGCGUUGCCUCCGCCCAUUUUUUAAUUUUUUGUUGUUGUUGUUGUUCAAAAAAAGUCAAUUUCCUCACCCCUGCCCUGGAUUCAUCCCUGCCCCCUCCUAGAACAGACACCUGGGAUGGCGGAGAAAACAUUUUUCCCAGGAAAUCAAGAACCUCCGACCCCUCGCUAAUAUUUGGGCCAAAAAAGAGCAAAUUCAAUCUUCUGCUCGGGGACGCCGUCCAAAAGUGGCCAGUGAUUAAUGACCUGGAAUUCCUGAUGGAUUCUGUUGGAUUUCUGGAGAAUUUGGUGCUCUGGGGACGCUCAGAAGUGUUCAGCGUUUCUGACGCAGGGCGCCGCCGUCGCCCCAUGUGCUGUAACACAAGAGCCGACGUUGUGUUUGCGUCGCCUCUGACAAGGUCUUUCCCCCACGGUCUUUGAGGCCGCGAGACCUGCUGCUGCAGAUGCCCAUCAGAGAUCAGCGCUGGUUUUCCUUCCGCGCUUGCAGAAACUCAGCGUGAGGUUGGUGCCUCUGGAGGCGUGGAAACCUCUGCAGGAGUAUUUACAAGAAGUGUGUGAACCGGCGUGUG